CCAUAUCGUAUUUUCCAAUGCUUGGUGGAUUGGGACACAAGCUGAGAACCCUGAAGAAGCCCAACUUGAUUUCCCUAAGGAACUUACUGAGGGACAACACGCAGAAUAGGACUUUAAAGGUGGUGCAGGUUCAACAUCUGCAAACAAGCAAAGUGAUCAUAAAAAUGAAACUACAAAAGUAGAAGAACAUUCCCCAAAUAUGUAAACUAUUAGACGAUUAUAUCCAUGAUAUGUUGUGCUACCUUUAGUUAGAUUAUCAUAGAUAAUUAACCAUUUUGAUAUAUUUUCUUUUUGCUGAAGAAUAAUAAAAGAAUCGAGAGUGCUUGUUGAUCGUCCAGAAGGCACACAUUUUCCUGUGAUGUGUCCACACAUGCUUCAGUGAACUCUCGUUUUGUCACCGAUUAAUUGUAGAUGAUGCACCAUGCUUACCUUUCCAUUUAUCUCUGACAUUUUUGUUGGUACAGUUUUGGAUUCUUUUGGAAGCGAUACUUACUUAAGCGAAGGAGAAGAUGAAAA